rnacentral:rRNA from 1 species
CAGGCUUAACACAUGCAAGUCGAGGGGCAGCAUGGUCUUAGCUUGCUAAGGCCGAUGGCGACCGGCGCACGGGUGAGUAACACGUAUCCAACCUGCCGUCUACUCUUGGACAGCCUUCUGAAAGGAAGAUUAAUACAAGAUGGCAUCAUGAGUCCGCAUGUUCACAUGAUUAAAGGUAUUCCGGUAGACGAUGGGGAUGCGUUCCAUUAGAUAGUAGGCGGGGUAACGGCCCACCUAGUCUUCGAUGGAUAGGGGUUCUGAGAGGAAGGUCCCCCACAUUGGAACUGAGACACGGUCCAAACUCCUACGGGAGGCAGCAGUGAGGAAUAUUGGUCAAUGGGCGAGAGCCUGAACCAGCCAAGUAGCGUGAAGGAUGACUGCCCUAUGGGUUGUAAACUUCUUUUAUAAAGGAAUAAAGUCGGGUAUGGAUACCCGUUUGCAUGUACUUUAUGAAUAAGGAUCGGCUAACUCCGUGCCAGCAGCCGCGGUAAUACGGAGGAUCCGAGCGUUAUCCGGAUUUAUUGGGUUUAAAGGGAGCGUAGAUGGAUGUUUAAGUCAGUUGUGAAAGUUUGCGGCUCAACCGUAAAAUUGCAGUUGAUACUGGAUAUCUUGAGUGCAGUUGAGGCAGGCGGAAUUCGUGGUGUAGCGGUGAAAUGCUUAGAUAUCACGAAGAACUCCGAUUGCGAAGGCAGCCUGCUAAGCUGCAACUGACAUUGAGGCUCGAAAGUGUGGGUAUCAAACAGGAUUAGAUACCCUGGUAGUCCACACGGUAAACGAUGAAUACUCGCUGUUUGCGAUAUACUGCAAGCGGCCAAGCGAAAGCGUUAAGUAUUCCACCUGGGGAGUACGCCGGCAACGGUGAAACUCAAAGGAAUUGACGGGGGCCCGCACAAGCGGAGGAACAUGUGGUUUAAUUCGAUGAUACGCGAGGAACCUUACCCGGGCUUAAAUUGCAGAUGAAUUACGGUGAAAGCCGUAAGCCGCAAGGCAUCCGUGAAGGUGCUGCAUGGUUGUCGUCAGCUCGUGCCGUGAGGUGUCGGCUUAAGUGCCAUAACGAGCGCAACCCUUGUUGUCAGUUACUAACAGGUUCCGCUGAGGACUUUGACAAGACUGCCAUCGUAAGAUGUGAGGAAGGUGGGGAUGACGUCAAAUCAGCACGGCCCUUACGUCCGGGGCUACACACGUGUUACAAUGGGGGGUACAGAGGGUCGCUACCACGCGAGUGGAUGCCAAUCCCCAAAACCUCUCUCAGUUCGGACUGGAGUCUGCAACCCGACUCCACGAAGCUGGAUUCGCUAGUAAUCGCGCAUCAGCCACGGCGCGGUGAAUACGUUCCCGGGCCUUGUACACACCGCCCGUCAAGCCAUGGGAGCCGGGGGUACCUGAAGUGCGUAACCGCGAGGAGCGCCCUAGGGUAAAACUGGUGACUGGGGCUAAGUCAUAAC